ACACCCAGGGAAGGCUAUUUUAAUCUGGAAAAUUGCCUGCUCCUCCUGCCCACCCAAAAUAACUUGGCUCCUGCAGGAACCUGCAACAUUGUGGCUGCCAUCAGCCUAAUGAGUGCUCCAGCCCUGGCAGCCCCCAUGCCCUCACUGUGGCCAACCCCGUCCUCAGACUGGGCCUCUCCACUCAGAUUUGGAGCUCUCUGAUGCCAGGUCUGUGUCUUCUCCCUCAGACUGAAGGCUGCCUCAGGGCAGAGGCUGUGUCUCCCAUGGAUUAGGAGCUCCUGGGGUGUAAAGAUUGCAUCUCCCCACUCAGGUGCCUGGAGCCAGCUUCCUUGGGAAAUGUGGGGAUGGGGCAGGUGCCAGGUGGUUUCGCCCACUUCCAGGCUGUGCUACAGAGGAUGCCCUUGUGGAGAAACUGGAUCUCUCUCCCUCCGUGGCCACAAAUGCAUCUGGCUGAUGGGCUCAGAAAUGAGGCCAUGCUUUGUGGCUGAUGUCAAACUUCUGGUAUCAAGUGAUUCUCCUGCUUUGGCCUCCGAAGUGCUUGGAUUACAGGCAUGAACCACUUUCCCAGGCUACCAAAAACAACCAUUUUUAAGUGAGCACUUAUUAUGUCUGAGGCACUGUACUAGUGCACCCCAUCUAUGGCUAUGUUUAAACCUCACAACACCCCGUUAAGAGGCAUGUAGUUGUACAGUGAAGAGAAUACGGCCCAGAGAGGUUAAGUGACUUGCCUCAGGUCAGCAAAGAAGUAGAAUUGGCAUUCAAACCUAAGUUAGAACAGCAUUUGUCUUUUUUUAAUGAGAAAUUUUUAAAAUUCAGACAAAUGCAGAGAAUAGUACAAUGAAACUACAAGUACUGAUUACCAGGAUAGCAUAUGAACAUUUUGUUUGCUAGAUUUGCUCCAUCUUUUUUUGUGCUGAAAUAUUAAAAGUUAAUUAUAGAAAUAGCAUGUCACCUCUACUCACUUAAGAAUGCGUCUCUAAAAAAUAAACCAAAUUUUCUAUAUAAACCAGUGUGCCAUUCUUACAUUGAACAAAACAAUUUGUAAUAUCUAAUAUGCAGCUCCUGUUCAGUUCCC
rnacentral:lncRNA from 1 species